ensembl:lncRNA novel transcript, antisense to SIRPA
GGAAGUUGCGGCCGACCUCCCCUCGCCUCCGGACUCCGGCCGCGCGGCUGCUCCCCGCUUCCCACUGGCGAGAGGCUGGAGGCGGCGAAGGAGUCGGGGCGCGGGGGCGCGGGGGGCGGGGGGGCGUCUGCCUUUUAACCCUCCCCAGGAGGUCGUGCCUCUGAGCCCCAAAGCUGAAGGCCCCUCUUGGGGGUGGGUGCGGGCCGGAGGGGCCCGAUCCUUUCAGAGCCGGGCCGAGGUGAAGGAAAAGAAGGAAGUCCUUUGAGAUACAUUAUCUCACUGAAGCCUCAGCAACUCCGCGGUGUUCCCAGAGGUGAGGAAACACACUGAGAGACAGAACACGACUUGACCAGGGCCACCCUGUGGGGCACGCUGGCACCUGCACAGCCCAGCUUCACCUGGUUCCAGCCCUGCCCGCGCUCUGCUCCCCACUUCCCGUAACCCUGGGCUGGCGUCAGCAGGCAGGCCUGCCAGGAGGCUGGAGCUGCCAACGACCUAUUUUUCUGGGCAAGAAGAGCCAUUUGGAGUUAGAGGUCUCAGCUGUGAAGCCAGAACAAUAAAAAUAAAAACAGCACGGACUCCUGGGCAGCCUGGACCAGGGAACCAACUGCCCCAAGAGUUGCUGCUCACCAGGCUGGAAGAUGAGGCAGCUGAGACUUCAGGAGGCCUCUGCUCACACGCCACCUCCUUGAGAGGCCUUGCCAGACCACCCUGUUAAAGUAGUCACCCUCACGCCUGCCCAAUAUGCCCUACCCUCUUCCCUAUUUUAUCUUCAUAGCAUGCAUCACGACCUGCUAAUAUUGUGUGUCUCCACUGCAUUUUGUCUGUCUCCCUAACUAGCUCCAGGUCAGUUUAUCCUAGUGGCUUGCACUCCAGCGGUCUCUCAGACUAGCCCCGUGGGGCAAGUUAUUUUGAUGAUCUGUGCUUCCUUCGGGGUAAUGAUAGGAC